rnacentral:lncRNA from 1 species
AUACAUACAUUCAACCUUAGAAAAAUUGGUUAUCCGGGUAAAAUUCUCACCUGCUGAUAAUCUGAGAUGGGUACGUUGCCUAUUAUGACCAUAUAACCAACAACUUUCUUGGUCGCCACUGAAUUCACCUUGGUUCCUUGAAUGACCUCAUCUCUUCUCAGAUCUCGCGUCACUCCUUGUCGAGGUGGUUCUUCUCGUCCCGAGAUAGUUCAACUCGCCAUUCAUCUUGAGGAUAAAAUGACAUUGAGAAUCUAUGUCCAUGAGACUCCAUCUCAAUCACGUCUCCUACAUUCAUGGUGCAUUCUUCAUAUGGCAUUUUCCUCCUUUUACUCCGAAAUUCUAGGACAUGACUUUCAUACUUGGUAGGCCGAUGAUUGCUCCAUGAUCUUCUUGCACAGCUCUCCAUUCUCCAUGUAUAAAAGGGCGCUCACCCUCCACCAUAAAAGGUAAUUGCAUUCUCACUCUCC